rnacentral:rRNA from 1 species
UGGGGAAUCUUGCACAAUGGGGGCAACCCUGAUGCAGCGACGCCGCGUGAGCGAUGAAGCCCUUCGGGGCGUAAAGCCCUUUCGACCGGAACGAUAAUGACGGUACCGGGAGAAGAAGCUGCGGCUAACUACGUGCCAGCAGCCGCGAUAAUACGUAGGCAGCAAGCGUUGUUCGGAGUUACUGGGCGUAAAGAGUGCGUAGGCGGUUUUCUAAGUUCGGUGUGAAAUCUCCCGGCUUAACUGGGAGGGUGCGCCGAAGACUGGGAAGCUGGAGUUUGGGAAAGGCAGGCGGAAUUCCUGGUGUAGCGGUGAAAUGCGUAGAUAUCAGGAGGAACACCGGCGGUGUAGACGGCUUGCUAGACCAUAACUGACGCUGAGGCACGAAAGCGUGGGUAGCAAACA